AGUUAAUGAGCUUGAAUAUAAGCCUAUAUUUUGAAAAUAUAUCAUAAACCUUAGUUUAUUAACUU
rnacentral:tRNA from 1 species